rnacentral:rRNA from 1 species
GACGAACGCUGGCGGCGUGCUUAACACAUGCAAGUCGAACGGAAAGGCCCUGCUUUUGUGGGUUGCUCGAGUGGCGAACGGGUGAGUAACACGUGAGUAACCUGCCCUUGACUUUGGGAUAACUUCAGGAAACUGGGGCUAAUACCGGAUAGGAGCUCCUGCUGCAUGGUGGUGGUUGGAAAGUGUCGGCGGUUGGGGAUGGACUCGCGGCUUAUCAGCUUGUUGGUGGGGUAGUGGCUUACCAAGGCUUUGACGGGUAGCCGGCCUGAGAGGGUGACCGGCCACAUUGGGACUGAGAUACGGACCAGACUCCUACGGGAGGCAGCAGUGGGGAAUAUUGCACAAUGGGCGGAAGCCUGAUGCAGCAACGCCGCGUGCGGGAUGACGGCCUUCGGGUUGUAAACCGCUUUCGCCUGUGACGAAGCGUGAGUGACGGUAAUGGGUAAAGAAGCACCGGCUAACUACGUG